rnacentral:tRNA from 1 species
AAGGGCAUAGCUCAGUGGUAGAGUGCAUGCCUAGCAUGCCGUAUGUCCUGGGUUCAAUCCCCAGUACUUCUA